rnacentral:rRNA from 1 species
GACGAACGCUGGCGGCGUGCCUAAUACAUGCAAGUAGAACGCACAGUUUAUACCGUAGCUUGCUACACCAUAGACUGUGAGUUGCGAACGGGUGAGUAACGCGUAGGUAACCUGCCUGGUAGCGGGGGAUAACUAUUGGAAACGAUAGCUAAUACCGCAUAAUAUUAAUUAUUGCAUGAUAAUUAAUUGAAAGGUGCAAUUGCACCACUACCAGAUGGACCUGCGUUGUAUUAGCUAGUAGGUGAGGUAACGGCUCACCUAGGCGACGAUACAUAGCCGACCUUGGAGGGUGAUCGGCCACACUGGGACUGAGACACGGCCCAGACUCCUACGGGAGGCAGCAGUAGGGAAUCUUCGGCAAUGGACGAAAGGCUGACCGAGCAACGCCGCGUGAGUGAAGAAGGUUUUCGGAUCGUAAAGCUCUGUUGUAAGAGAAGAACGGGUGUGAGAGUGGAAAGUUCACACUGUGACGGUAUCUUACCAGAAAGGGACGGCUAACUACGUG